rnacentral:lncRNA from 1 species
AACUGGCAUCUGGUGAGAUCUCUCUCCUUGGGUUGUAAGUGACCACCUUCUCUAUGUCCUUCCAUGGACUUUCCUCUGUGCUUUUGUGGUGCCAGUGCGCGUGACAUUUCCCUGAAGCCACAGCCCUUGUCACCCCCUGCAAAGCUCUGAAGUUGUGCACAGGUAGGCCAGGUGGCAGAUUUCUCUCAAAAGCGGCUGAGCUCGCGCUCUGGCUAGGGAAGGCAGAGGCCUGCGGCACAAAGUACAUUGUCUUAGACAUCAGGACAGUGUCUAUAGCAGUUUAGGAAAGAAGGCGGCUCCCUGGGCUGGAGACGACGCAAUGCUCUGGGAAGACCCCUGGGUGCGGGUGAGAGAGGAAUCCGAGCUGCACAAGGCCAAUGAGGGGAGGACGACCCGCCCGAUUUAGAUAAAGGUAACAAGAAAUUUCAGCUUCCGGCAUGAUGGGCGAAGGCCCCCACCUUCAGCCUCGCUCCUCCAUGCCUUCAGAGCUGUUCCGCCAUGCAGACGGGGAGCCUGCCUGUUCUUUAACCUCUCCUACCUGAUGGGAGAGGACAAGCUACCAGGACAGCUUGUCUCACCAAGAAAUUGUGAUACCGCAUCCCCCAACGUGCUGGCUUCCUGACUUCCAAAGUUGCGGCAAGGUAAGAAGAACUACAGAGGAAGAACCUAAUGCAGACGUUUCCCAGGAGACUUUAACUGAAGUAUCAGCAAACUGAAAGGUAACGAGAGAAUCUUGUGCCUCUGAGGGUGUCUUUCCCAUGGAUCCCUGCUCAGUUGCCUUUCACGGGCCCCCUGAUUUGCGUGAACUCCUGACCUCAGAUGAUCCGCCUGCCUUGGCCCUC